GAUGAACGCUGGCGGCGUGCCUAAUACAUGCAAGUCGAGCGAACGGACGAGAAGCUUGCUUCUCUGAUGUUAGCGGCGGACGGGUGAGUAACACGUGGAUAACCUACCUAUAAGACUGGGAUAACUUCGGGAAACCGGAGCUAAUACCGGAUAAUAUUUUGAACCGCAUGGUUCAAAAGUGAAAGACGGUCUUGCUGUCACUUAUAGCUGGAUCCGCGCUGCAUUAGCUAGUUGGUAAGGUAACGGCUUACCAAGGCAACGAUGCAUAGCCGACCUGAGAGGGGGAUCGGCCACACUGGAACUGAGACACGGUCCAGACUCCUACGGGAGGCAGCAGUAGGGAAUCUUCCGCAAUGGGCGAAAGCCUGACGGAGCAACGCCGCGUGAGUGAUGAAGGUCUUCGGAUCGUAAAACUCUGUUAUUAGGGAAGAACAUAUGUGUAAGUAACUGUGCACAUCUUGACGGUACCUAAUCAGAAAGCCACGGCUAACUACGUG
rnacentral:rRNA from 1 species